AGAGGUAUGGAGUAUUGUUUGGGUAGCGGUAAAAUGUUAUAAUCCUUACAAGACUAACUAAUGCGAAGGCACCAUACUGGAACGGAUCUGACAGUGAGGAACGAGAGCUAGGGUAGCGAACCGGAUUAGAUACCCGGGUAGUCCUAGCCGUAAACGCUGUGGGUUACGCUUUGCCAAAUUCAUGAGAUUUGGCAGGGGGGUAGCGAAGGCAUUAAACCCGCCACCUGGGAAGUACAGCCGCAAGGCCGAAACUUAAAGGAAUUGCCGGGGGAGUACUACAAGGGGUGCGGCGUGCGGUUUAAUUGGAUUGUACACCGAGAAACUUACCAGAAGCGACAGCCGGAUGAAGGUCAGAUUAAAGGUUUUACCUAACACGCUGAGAGGUGCUGCAUGGCCGCCGUCAGCUCGUGCUGUAAGGUGUCCUCUUAAGUGAGGAAACGAGCAAGACCUAUGUUUACAAUUGCAAACCAUGUUUAUUGGUGCACAUUGUAGAGACUGCCUUGGAAACAAGGAGGAAGGUGUAGGCUACGGUAGGUCUGUAUAGCCUGAAUCUUCUGGGCUACACGCGCGCAACAAUGGUUAAGACAAAGAGUUGCCACUCCGAAAGGGGGAGCUAAUCUCCAAACUUAACCCUAGUUUAGAUCUUGUUUUUAACUCAACCUCGUGACAUCGGAAUCCCUAGAACCGGAGUAU
rnacentral:rRNA from 1 species